AAUUUAUUGGUAGAUGCAUGUUUCUCUAAACCUAAAGCAGAAAUACUCUAAAAUACUUGAUUCAAAACGUUUCAUAUUAAUAUGUCUUGAUUAGUACGUAAAAUAUGAAAACAUUAAAAUGUGGAUAGAAAAGUAGAAAUGGUUGAAUCAUUUGAUAUGAUAUCCACGUACGGCGAGACAACAAUUAACAGUUGUGCAUUUAUUUAUGUCUCUAUCUACAUCUAUCAGACAUACCGAAUUUUGGCACUGUUAUUUAGUUAAGAGUUCAGCUAUGCGUACGCAUCUUGGUAACCUAAUAAUUUAUGUCGUGUACAUUGACUUUACUUCCCAGCGGACCAAUACGGUGACUUUAAUUCAUAAUUUCAUGCAUAAACAGUUGAUUCAUUUUUCUGUGUCCCUAUUAAAAAAUAUCACAACGAAUGUGAACAACGGUAUCUAAUCAAUUAGUGAUUACAGCUUAAACAGGUGGUUAAGCCACCUAAUCAGCUGUGCCACUAGGGUCAUGUUCGUUACACCAACUAGAUAAUGGAGAUAAGAUUGUUGUUUGUUUAGAUUUUAAAUUACAAGUCAUCUGAAUAACUCAUUUGGAUGAACUUAAUACAUUUAGGUUUAAUUUUUAAAAUCAGCCACCUGAACCAAAUUGAACCAUUUCGAUAGAGAUGAUUCAAUCAAAAAAUUAUAAUGUAUAUUAUACACAUGAUAUAAUUCAAAAAUUACCAACCUAAAUCUAAUAUCAUUUUUUCACUCAUAAAAACUGACAAAAUCACAAAAACGCAUUUUAUCACCAAAACCACAAAACACAUGUUUCUGCAAAAACCGUAAAAACGCAUUUUUCACCAAAACCGCAAAAAAAAAAAAAAACACUUUUCCUGCCAACACGCAAAAAUGCAUUUUUCUGCAAAAACCGCAAAGACACACUUUUCCACUAAAACGAAUUUAACCGCAAAAACUGCUAAAACACAUUUUGCUGUGAAAACCGCAAAAAUCAUUAUCCCGCCAAAAUCGCAAAAAUGUAUUUACCAUCAAAACCGCAAAAUACAUUUUUCGCCAAAAUCACAAAAUCGCACUUUCCCACCAAAAGCGCAAAAACAUGUUUUAACCCUAAAACCACAAACCACAUUUUUCCAACAAAACCACAAAAUUCGUUAAACUCGCAAAAUCAAAUUUCUCGAAUUAAAUCUUUAAUGGGUAUUUUUUUGUUAAAAUAUCAAAAUUAUAUUUCCCGCUAAAA
rnacentral:lncRNA from 1 species